rfam:Streptomyces coelicolor A3(2) complete genome
UCGCGUCAAGCGCCGAAGGCAGGAGCGGGGGACCCAAGGUAAGUGCCGCACCGGGCAGUUGAGCCGGAGCGGCUAGGGGUGGAGCCGAGUUCCGCGAGGAACCCGGCCGGGCAACUCAACCGGCCCGAACCCGACAGCUCACCUCGCAGGCGUCGGUGAGGGGAUCA